AUUGAACGCUGGCGGAAUGCUUUACACAUGCAAGUCGAACGGUAGAGGGGGCAACCCCUUGAGAGUGGCGAACGGGUGAGUAAUGUAUCGGAACGUGCCCAGUCGUGGGGGAUAACGUAGUGAAAAUUACGCUAAUACCGCAUACGAUCUAUGGAUGAAAGCGGGGGAUCGCAAGACCUCGCGCGAUUGGAGCGGCCGAUAUCAGAUUAGGUAGUUGGUGGGGUAAAGGCUCACCAAGCCAACGAUCUGUAGCUGGUCUGAGAGGACGACCAGCCACACUGGAACUGAGACACGGUCCAGACUCCUACGGGAGGCAGCAGUGGGGAAUUUUGGACAAUGGACGCAAGUCUGAUCCAGCCAUUCCGCGUGCAGGACGAAGGCCUUCGGGUUGUAAACUGCUUUUGUACGGAACGAAAAAGCUCUUAUUAAUACUAGGAGUCCAUGACGGUACCGUAAGAAUAAGCACCGGCUAACUACGUGCCAGCAGCCGCGGUAAUACGUAGGGUGCAAGCGUUAAUCGGAAUUACUGGGCGUAAAGCGUGCGCAGGCGGUUAUAUAAGACAGAUGUGAAAUCCCCGAGCUUAACUUGGGAACUGCAUUUGUGACUGUAUAGCUAGAGUACGGCAGAGGGGGAUGGAAUUCCGCGUGUAGCAGUGAAAUGCGUAGAUAUGCGGAGGAACACCGAUGGCGAAGGCA
rnacentral:rRNA from 1 species